AGAUGAUUCAACAGGCUGUGAAUCUAUUCCAUUUGGAAUCCUACUGGGCCUGAUCUGUUUUCCAUUGCCAAGGCACUGCUGUUUAAGCUAUACCAUAUGAAGCACCCUCCCUAAAGGCUCAGGGGCCAUAGUGAAAGAGGACACAUGGGAUUGUAAGAGCCAGAUUAUGGGGGUGGAGGGUAAAGGCUGAAGCAAGUCCAUCUUGGAUGCUAACUCACUAUGUUAGCUUCUGAUUAACCCCAGUUCCAGGAAGGCUGCUGAAAUUUCCAGUUUAUGUGUUGUUCCUUGUGUAAGAGCAUGGACUUACUGCAAAUCCUGCCCUUAGGGCAAAUUCCUACCUAUUCCUGCGGAAGCAUGUGUAUCAUUCCCCUAUGGUUUAUAACCCCUGAGUCUGGGGGUAAUGGCACGGGGACCCACCAGCUUGUCUGCCGCCAUCUGGGGUACAGUGCUGGAAGCGGGGAUACAGGGACAAAUAAGACACAGAUCCUGUUCCUAAAGAGUUUUUUGAGAUGAAGUCUCGUUCUUGUCCCCCAGGCUGGAGUGCAAUGGCAUGAUCUCAGCUCACUGCAACCUCUGCCUCCCGGGUUCAAGCAAUUCUCCUGUCUCAGCCUCCUGAGUAGCUGGAUUACAGAGUCUUUUCUAAGGCACCAACUACUUCCUUCAAGCAGCAGCCAGAGAUCUUUGCUUAAUGGCUGAGAAACACAGAGGAGAGACCCAGAGAGAAGGAGAAGGCCGCAUGAAGAUGGAGCAGAGACUGGAGUUAUUCAGCCAAGUCAAGGAAUGCCUGGAGCACCAGAAGCCGGAAGAGGCAAGGAAGGAUCCUCCCUUAGAGCAUUUGGAAGAGUGUGGCCCUGCCAACACCUUGACUUCAAACUUCUGGCCUCCAUAACUAUGAAAUAAAUUCUUGUUGUUUUAAGCCACCAAGUUUGUGGUAACUUCUUACAGCAACCCUAGGAAAUUAACACACAGAGUGUCAGUUACCUAAACAUUGUGAGCCUCAGUUACCUUAUCUGAAAAUGGGGCUAAAACUUAGACCUACCUUUUAGGGCUGCUUUAAGGAGUAAUAGAAAUUAUACAUGGGAAUUACAUGGCACCAAGUUGUUCCUUAAUAGAGGGAAACUGUUAUGAUGGCGGAAGAGCAGUAAUGAAAUACUGAAUUCAUCCAGCAGAUGGCAGAAGAUGGAUUUGCAAACAAGAGGACUUCAUAAGGUUUGCUGCCCAGCAAUGCAGCUCCAGGCCUAAAGUAGCCUUCCUAGCUCACAGACUGAUGAGGAUUAACCCUCGCCAACUCAAGUGUGC
rnacentral:lncRNA from 1 species